AACGCAUAUUGCGCCCUCUGGUAUUCCGGGGGGCAUGCCUGUUCGAGCGUCAUUAUCACCCCUCAAGCCCGGCUUGUUGUUGGACGUCGGCGGCGGCCUUUAGUGGCGUACCGCCCGUCUCAAAGAUAAUGACGGCGUCUGUGAGGAUACCUGUACACUGAGCUUUCGGGCACGUACUAGGCUAACACUCGCAGACCCGGUCUUCAGGGCUCGCUUCGGCGGCCCAACUUUUCUAAGGUUGACCUCGGAUCAGGUAGGAAUACCCGCUGAACUUAA
rnacentral:misc_RNA from 1 species